rnacentral:misc_RNA from 1 species
CUGAACUCUGUUAAUUGUUUCUGACAGUCCUUAACAGGACAUUAAAUAAGCGGUUUACACCAUGUACACUUUGCUAUGUGUUAUGUGUAAGACGUGAAUGCUUGUGCAGUUAUAUGCUGUAAUGACUUCAUGAAUAUGUUUGUGGUUAUUUCUUCAAUUAGCUGAUAAACUUUUGGGUGCACUAAGAAAGUUUAUUUGUCCUGCUGUUCUGUCCAUGUAUGCUCAUUAAGUCUGGUUUUUUAGUGGAUUGACUUUGGCACCUUGAAAACUUCGUUUUUCAUCAAUUAUAUUGCAG